rnacentral:rRNA from 1 species
UACAGAGGUCUCAAGCGUUGUUCGGAUUCAUUGGGCGUAAAGGGUGCGCAGGCGGCCAAGUGUGUCAGGUGUGAAAUCCCGAGGCUUAACCUCGGAACUGCGCCUGAAACUACUUGGCUAGAGUACUGGAGAGGGUAACGGAAUUCACGGUGUAGCAGUGAAAUGCGUAGAUAUCGUGAGGAACACCAGAGGCGAAGGCGGUUACCUGGACAGUUACUGACGCUCAGGCACGAAAGCGUGGGGAGCAAAAGGG